UCCCAUUCAGCACGGGCAGUCCUGCUAGAGUGCACCCUUUCGGGUUUGCAACUAACAGCAAGGGUUUCGCUCGUUACAGCACUUAAGCUAACAUCUCACGACACGAGCUGACGACAGCCAUGCAACACCUGAUGAAUGCUCCUCUUUCGAGGUCGUCACCCUUUCAGGCUUCUACUAUGUGCAUGUCAAGGCCAGGUAAGGUUCUUCGCGUUGCAUCGAAUUAAGCCACAUACUCCACCGCUUGUGCAGGCCCCCGUCAAUUUCUUUGAGUUUCAGCCUUGCGACCGUACUCCCCAGGCGGGGCACUUAAUGCGUUAGCUUCGGCACUGCAGGGGUCGAUACCCGCAACACCAAGUGCCCAUCGUUUACAGCUAGGACUAC
rnacentral:misc_RNA from 1 species